GUUUUAGCGCAAUGGGCGAAAGCCUGACGCAGCAACGCCGCGUGAGGGAUGAAGGCCUUCGGGUGUAAACCUCUUUGUCAGGGACGAUGAUGACGGUACCUGACGAAUAAGCCACGGCUAACUACGUGCCAGCAGCCGCGGUAAUACGUGGGUGGCAAGCGUUGUCCGGAUUUACUGGGCGUAAAGAGCGCGCAGGCGGUCGUUCAAGUCGCGUGUGAAAGCCCCCGGCUCAACUGGGGAGGGUCACGCGAUACUGAUCGACUCGAAGGCAGGAGAGGGUAGUGGAAUUCCCGGUGUAGUGGUGAAAUGCGUAGAUAUCGGGAGGAACACCAGUGGCGAAGGCGACUACCUGGCCUGUUCUUGACGCUGAGGCGCGAAAGCUAGGGGAGCAAACGGGAUUAGAUACCCCGGUAGUCCUAGCCGUAAACGAUGGACACUAGGUGUUGGUGGUAUCAACCCCGCCAGUGCCGAAGCUAACGCAUUAAGUGUCCCGCCUGGGGAGUACGGCCGCAAGGCUA
rnacentral:rRNA from 1 species